AUUCCACCGGGAACAUGAGACAUCUGAAUCCCCAAGAAAUAAUUGCAAAGACCCAAGGUCCUUGAUUUUAAACUGAUCAUCAAGAAACAGUUUCAGAGCAGAGAUUUCAUCAUUGUCUUCUCCAGUGAUAAUAAUAUCAUCCACAUACACUGCCAGAAUAACUAAAGACCCAGAUGUGUCUUUGAUGAAUAAAGAAUAAUCAUUCAAAGAGUGUUUAUAUCCUCUGAGAGAAAGAGCAUGAGACAACUUGGCAUACCAUUGUCUGGAAGCCUGUCUCAACCCAUAAAGAGAUUUUUUGAGUCUGCAAACCAGAGGAGAAGAAAGAGGAGAAACAGAAUCAGAAACAACAGCAGAUACAGUUAAGCCAGGAGGCAAUUUCAUGUACACCUCCUCAUCCAAAUCACCAUGUAAAAAAGCAUUAUUGACAUCCAAUUGAAAUAAGUUCCAAUUCCUUUUCACAGCAACAGCAAUCAAACAUUUAACAGUACACAUUUUGACCACAGGAGAAAAGGUUUCUGUGAAAUCAACCCCUACAACUUGAGUAUCCCCCCUAAUAACAAGUCUGGCCUUAUACCUUUCAAUGGACCCAUCAGCCUUGUACUUAAUUUUAUAAACCCACUUGCAACCAAUUAGUUUCUUACCAGGAGGAAGGUGGACAACAUCCCAAGUGUGGUUGGUGUCCAAGGCCUCAAACUCCUUCCUCAUGGCAUCCUGCCAAGCUGGAACUGAAGCUGCCUGAGAGUAAUACAGUGGUUCAGUGUCCAAAGANNNNNNNNNNNNNNNNNNNNNNNNNNNNNNNNNNNNNNNNNNNNNCAUCCCAAGUUUGGUUGGUGUCCAAGGCCUCAAACUCCUUUCUCAUGGCAUCCUGCCAAGCUGGAACUGAAGCUGCCUGAGAGUAAUACAGUGGUUCAGUUUCCAAAGAGGAAGAAGAAGAGCCAGAGAAGGCUGGGAGUUGGCAGAGAUAGUCCUUAAGAUAGGAUGGAGGAUUAUGAGUUCUGGUAGAUUUUCUGAGAACAGGAGCAAAAGAAGAAGAGGGCAAAGUGGGAGGAGAAGGUUGAUGGAUAGAGGAAGGAGAAUAAAAAAGAACAUCAUUUUUUCCAGAAGGUAAGGAAGAAACAGUAGGCAUGGGAGAAUCAGUCAAGCAAUCAUCUUCUCCAGAAGGAACAUAAGGGAAUGAUGAGGCAGAAGGUGAAAUAACAGAAGAUGAAGAUUUAAAAGGAAAAACUGAUUCAUGAAAUAUAACAUCUCUGGAGACCAAAUAGUGUUUGGAAUUAAGAUCAUAUAAUUUGUAACCCUUUUUGCCAAAAGGAUAGCCCAAGAAAACACAAGGGAUAGCUCGAGGCUUCAAUUUGUCCCUUUGAGGGAUUGGCACAGUGGCAUAAGUAAGGCAUCCAAAAGCCCAUAAAUGAAGAAAAGGGGGAGGUUUUCCAUACAACAAUUCAUGAGGAGAUUUGUUAUGUAACAAUCUGGUAGGUAUUCGAUUAAUCAGGUAUGUAGCAGUGAGUAAACAAUCCCCCCAGAAAGAAGUAGGCAGCCCAGACUGAAAAAGUAAGGCCCUACAAGUCUCAAGAAGCGUUCUGUGUUUCCUUUCAACAACUCCAUUUUGUUGGGGAGUGUGGGAACAAGAUGUUUGGUGAAGGAUGCCUUGGCUGUAAAAUAUGAAAUGCCUUCAUUGCUAGAACCCAACUCCAAUGCAUUAUCACUUCUAACAGUUUGGACCACAGUAUGAAACUGGGUCUUAACCAUAGAGAUAAAGGACUUANNN
rnacentral:lncRNA from 1 species